CCCUGGGAGGACACCAGCCCCCAGCCCGGGCCCUGUAGGCGCCAUGGCCCCUUCCCGGGACUGCCCGAGCACAGGCCCCGGCCCCGGAGCCCCCGUGGGCAGAGACGAGGGGAAGGGAGGCACUGAGCGGCAGGGAGAGUGUACGGAUGCAUUUCUGAAGGCGAGUGUUGGGUCUUAUUGGCGCCGCACAAGAAACCAACGUGUGAAACCCAGACAUUCACUGUUAGAAACAGGAAGAAGCUAUGGGCCCUUGCUUCAGAUUCUGCAAAAGAUGUACCAAGGCUGAGGAAAGUGGCAAAAAGGGAAGAAAUGCCGUAGCAUAACUUUGGGAUGGCAGAUUGUACACAAAUGGGAGGCCUGAGCAGGCUGCCUUUAGCAGGGGAACGUGACCUGACUGCACAGGAGGCAAGGAACUCCCUUCUCUCGCUGACCAUGAGCCCUCAGUUUCAAGGCAGAUGUGAAGAGGAAUAUUUGACCCGUGGGAAAUGCAACUUCAGAUACGUAAGCCAGGUGGGACUGCCAUGUGAGCCCUGUGAUAGGAGCCGUGUAUCCCAACCGUGAACGUAGAGGCUGGGCCCAGUUUUUAGCUUGGUUCAAUAUGAGCUCUGCUGACUGAUUCUGUGAUCAAGAGCAGGCAAGUCUGCCCCCUGAGAGGAUGUUGUCGUGGGUGGAAGGGUUGAAGUGCAGUGACUGCGUCAACAAACAGGUGGUUUGAAAAGUCUUUUGGGCAAGGAUCUGGUACGCUGGUGUAAUGCCUUUUCCCUUUACAAAGGUGUCCAGUAAACACAAGUGUUCCUGCAUGUGUCCAGUAGCGCAGAGACCUCUGUACUUUCUUUGGACUGAUUGUUGUGUAAGA